CAGGUGCUGCAUGGCUGUCGUCAGCUCGUGCCGUGAGGUGUAGUGGUUAAGUCCCACAACGAGCGCAACCCUCGUCGCUAGUUAAUUUCCCUAGCGAGACCGCCUCGCAAACGAGGAGGAAGGCGGGGAUGGCGUCAAGUCAGCAUGGCCUUUAUACCCUGGGCGACACACACGCUACAAUGGGUGGUACAGUAGGUAGCGAAGGAGCGAUCCGGAGCAAAUCCUUAAAACCAUCCUCAGUACGGAUUGCAGGCUGAAACCCGCCUGCAUGAAGCCGGAGUUGCUAGUAACCGCAUAUCAGCAUGGUGCGGUGAAUACGUUCUCGGGCCUU
rnacentral:rRNA from 1 species